UCUUACCACUCACUCACUCACUCACUCACUCACUCACUCACUCACUCACUCACUCACUCACUCACUCACUCACUCACUCACUCACUCACUCUCACCAGUAGAUGUCAGUGUGCACCACUGAUGAGUCUCUGCUCUGGUUGUUAUCAUCUCUGAACGGGGUCACAGUCAAAUCAUCCAGCUAUAGUGGAUUCUCCAGAAAAGCAGGAAAUAGAGCAGAACCUCUCCAUGGUUGGCUGUUCCAGCUGAAUGAAUUACAGUAGCUCCUAAUGCUGUGUUAGUACCACUGAGCCCUUCCUAUUGUAUCACAGGGAGGUGAAGGUCAACAUAUGACCUACUAGGGUAUCAGAGGGAGAUGAAGAUCAACAUAUGACCUACUAGGGUAUCAGAGGGAGAUGAAGGUCAACAUAUGACUCACUAGGGUAUCAGAGGGAGGUGAAGGUCAACAUAUGACUCACUAGGGUAUCAGAGGGAGGUGAAGGUCAACAUAUGACUCACUAGGGUAUCAGAGGGAGGUGAAGGUCAACAUAUGACUCACUAGGGUAUCAGAGGGAGGUGAAGGUCAACAUAUGACCUACUAGGGUAUCAGAGGGAGAUGAAGGUCAACAUAUGACCUACUAGGGUAUCAGAGGGAGAUGAAGGUCAACAUAUGACUCACUAGGGUAUCAGAGGGAGGUGAAAGUCAACAUAUGACUCACUAGGGUAUCAGAGGGAGGUGAAGGUCAGCAUAUGACCUACUAGGGUAUCAGAGGGAGAUGAAGGUCAACAUAUGACCUACUAGGGUAUCAGAGGGAGAAGAAGGUCAACAUAUGACUCACUAGGGUAUCAGAGGGAGGUGAAGGUCAACAUAUGACUCACUAGGGUAUCAGAGGGAGGUGAAGGUCAACAUAUGACCUACUAGGGUAUCAGAGGGAGGUGAAGGUCAACAUAUGACUCACUAGGGUAUCAGAGGGAGGUGAAGGUCAACAUAUGACUCACUAGGGUAUCAGAGGGAGGUGAAGGUCAACAUAUGACCUACUAGGGUAUCAGAGGGAGGUGCAGGUCAACAUAUGACUCACUAGGGUAUCAGAGGGAGGUGAAGGUCAACAUAUGACCUACUAGGGUAUCAGAGGGAGGUGCAGGUCAACAUAUGACUCACUAGGGUAUCAGAGGGAGGUGAAGAUCAACAUAUGACCUACUAGGGUAUCAGAGGGAGAUGAAGGUCAACAUAUGACUCACUAGGGUAUCAGAGGGAGGUGAAGGUCAACAUAUGACUCACUAGGGUAUCAGAGGGAGGUGAAGGUCAACAUAUGACCUACUAGGGUAUCAGAGGGAGAUGAAGGUCAACAUAUGACCUACUAGGGUAUCAGAGGGAGGUGAAGGUCAACAUAUGACUCACUAGGGUAUCAGAGGGAGGUGAAGGUCAACAUAUGACCUACUAGGGUAUCAGAGGGAGGUGAAGGUCAACAUAUGACCUACUAGGGUAUCAGAGGGAGAUGAAGGUCAACAUAUGACCUACUAGGGUAUCAGAGGGAGGUGAAGGUCAACAUAUGACUCACUAGGGUAUCAGAGGGAGGUGAAGGUCAACAUGACUCACUAGGGUAUCAGAGGGAGGUGAAGGUCAACAUAUGACCUACUAGGGUAUCAGAGGGAGGUGAAGGUCAACAUAUGACCUACUAGGGUAUCAGAGGGAGGUGAAGGUCAACAUAUGACCUACUAGGGUAUCAGAGGGAGGUGAAGGUCAACAUAUGACCUACUAGGGUAUCAGAGGGGGGUGAAGGUCAACAUAUGACCUACUAGGGUAUCAGAGGGAGGUGAAGGUCAACAUAUGGCCUACUAGGGUAUCAGAGGGAGAUGAAGGUCAACAUAUGACCUACUAGGGUAUCAGAGGGAGAUGAAGGUCAACAUAUGACUCACUAGGGUAUCAGAGGGAGGUGAAGGUCAACAUAUGACUCACUAGGGUAUCAGAGGGAGGUGAAGGUCAACAUAUGACCUACUAGGGUAUCAGAGGGAGAUGAAGGUCAACAUAUGACUCACUAGGGUAUCAGAGGGAGGUGAAGGUCAACAUAUGACUCACUAGGGUAUCAGAGGGAGGUCAACAUAUGACCUACUAGGGUAUCAGAGGGACAUGAAGGUCAACAUAUGACCUACUAGGGUAUCAGAGGGAGAUGAAGGUCAACAUAUGACUCACUAGGGUAUCAGAGGGAGGUGAAGGUCAACAUAUGACCUACUAGGGUAUCAGAGGGAGGUGAAGGUCAACAUAUGACUCACUAGGGUAUCAGAGGGAGGUGAAGGUCAACAUAUGACCUACUAGGGUAUCAGAGGGAGGUGAAGGUCAACAUAUGACCUACUAGGGUAUCAGAGGGAGAUGAAGGUCAACAUAUGACCUACUAGGGUAUCAGAGGGAGAUGAAGGUCAACAUAUGACUCACUAGGGUAUCAGAGGGAGGUGAAGGUCAACAUAUGACUCACUAGGGUAUCAGAGGGAGGUGAAGGUCAACAUAUGACCUACUAGGGUAUCAGAGGGAGGUGAAGGUCAACAUAUGACCUACUAGGGUAUCAGAGGGAGAUGAAGGUCAACAUAUGACUCACUAGGGUAUCAGAGGGAGGUGAAGGUCAACAUAUGACCUACUAGGGUAUCAGAGGGAGAUGAAGGUCAACAUAUGACUCACUAGGGUAUCAGAGGGAGGUGAAGGUCAACAUAUGACCUACUAGGGUAUCAGAGGGAGGUGAAGGUCAACAUAUGACCUACUAGGGUAUCAGAGGGGGGUGAAGGUCAACAUAUGACCUACUAGGGUAUCAGAGGGAGGUGAAGGUCAACAUAUGACCUACUAGGGUAUCAGAGGGAGGUGAAGGUCAACAUAUGACUCACUAGGGUAUCAGAGGGAGGUGAAGGUCAACAUAUGACCUACUAGGGUAUCAGAGGGAGAUGAAGGUCAACAUAUGACUCACUAGGGUAUCAGAGGGAGGUGAAGGUCAACAUAUGACUCACUAGGGUAUCAGAGGGAGGUGAAGGUCAACAUAUGACCUACUAGGGUAUCAGAGGGAGGUGAAGGUCAACAUAUGACCUACUAGGGUAUCAGAGGGAGGUGAAGGUCAACAUAUGACUCACUAGGGUAUCAGAGGGAGGUGAAGGUCAACAUAUGACUCACUAGGGUAUCAGAGGGAGGUGAAGGUCAACAUAUGACUCACUAGGGUAUCAGAGGGAGGUGAAGGUCAACAUAUGACUCACUAGGGUAUCAGAGGGAGGUGAAGGUCAACAUAUGACCUACUAGGGUAUCAGAGGGAGAUGAAGGUCAACAUAUUACCUACUAGGGUAUCAGAGGGGGGUGAAGGUCAACAUGACUUACUAGGGUAUCAGAGGGAGAUGAAGGUCAACAUGACUUACUAGGGUAUCAGAGGGAGGUGAAGGUCAACAUAUGACCUACGAGGGUAUCAGAGGGGGGUGAAGGUCAACAUAUGACCUACUAGGGUAUCAGAGGGAGAUGAGAUGAUGGUGAAAAUAUAGCACUCUUCUCUUCUUAAAAAUAUUUAAAAUAUAUCAGAUGUGAUUGUUCCUGGGUAAGACAGUAACGUAGAUUUUUUUUUUUUUAGGCCAAUAAAUGUAUUGUAUUCACACACACACACACCGUACACAUAUUUUACCUUCUCAUGCAUUGGGAAUGCCCCCCAAUUAACGGAUCUAUGUCCCCCCCCCUCAGUAACUGAUCUAUGUCCCCCCCCCCUCAGUAACUGAUCUAUGUCUCCCCCCCUCAGUAACUGAUCUAUGUCCCCCCCCUCAGUAACUGAUCUAUGUCUCCCCCCUCAG